rnacentral:rRNA from 1 species
AUAUGGUCUAUUAGCUCAGUCGGUAGAGCACCUGACUUUUAAUCAGGGUGUCCCGCGUUCGAGUCGCGGAUAGAUCACCAAUGGAGAGGUGUCCGAGUGGUUUAAGGAGCUGGUCUUGAAAACCAGUGACUUCGAAAGGGGCCGUGGGUUCGAAUCCCACCCUCUCCGCCAAAAAAAAUGACUGAAUUUGGAGAAGUACUCAAGUGGCUCAAGAGGAUCCCCUGCUAAGGGAUUAGGCUGGGUAACCGGUGCGAGGGUUCGAAUCCCUCCUUCUCCGCCAUUCAAAAACGAGGUGUAGCGCAGUUUGGUAGCGCACAUGGUUUGGGACCAUGGGGCCGGGGGUUCGAGUCCCUUCACCUCGACCAACUUAAGUUUUUAGUUCGGUUGGUUAGAGUGCCCAACUCAUAACUAGUAAUUCUAGGGUUUGAGUCCAUGAAGGUUAUUCUUCAUAGGGGUGUAGCUCAGUUGGUAGAGCGUCGGUCUCCAAAACCGUGCGCCGGGGGUUCGAGUCCCUCCACCCCUGCCAAAUAAAAAGGACUUGAAAAAAGUUGGAUUUUAGAGUAAUAUAAGAUAGUAAAUAAGAUUUCGAGGUGUAGCGCAGUUUGGUAGCGCACAUGGUUUGGGACCAUGGGGCCGGGGGUUCGAGUCCCUUCACCUCGACCAAGAAAGGGCCUAUAGCUCAGGUGGUUAGAGCGCACGCCUGAUAAGCGUGAGGUCGCUGGUUCGAGUCCAGCUAGGCCCACCAUUUGCCCAGAUAGCUCAGUCGGUAGAGCAGGGGACUGAAAAUCCCCGUGUCGGUGGUUCGAUUCCGCCUCUGGGCACCAGGAAUACGGCGGUAUAGCUUAGUUGGCUAGAGCGUUCGGUUCAUACCCGAAAGGUCAUAGGUUCGACUCCUAUUACCGCUACCAUCUAACUAUAUCAAUAAAGAACUUUGAAAAUUAAACAGUAGGUUAAUUUAUAAAACAAGAAACAAACCAUAAAGCCAGAUAUUUUGAUAACAAUAGUAUCUGAGCCUGAUAAACUUUUAUUUGAGAGUUUGAUCCUGGCUCAGGAUGAACGCUGGCGGCGUGCCUAACACAUGCAAGUUGAGCGAUUUACUUCGGUAAAGAGCGGCGGACGGGUGAGUAACGCGUGGGUAACCUACCCUGUACACACGGAUAACAUACCGAAAGGUAUGCUAAUACGGGAUAAUAUAUUUGAGAGGCAUCUCUUGAAUAUCAAAGGUGAGCCAGUACAGGAUGGACCCGCGUCUGAUUAGCUAGUUGGUAAGGUAACGGCUUACCAAGGCGACGAUCAGUAGCCGACCUGAGAGGGUGAUCGGCCACAUUGGAACUGAGACACGGUCCAAACUCCUACGGGAGGCAGCAGUGGGGAAUAUUGCACAAUGGGCGAAAGCCUGAUGCAGCAACGCCGCGUGAGUGAUGAAGGCCUUCGGGUCGUAAAACUCUGUCCUCAAGGAAGAUAAUGACGGUACUUGAGGAGGAAGCCCCGGCUAACUACGUGCCAGCAGCCGCGGUAAUACGUAGGGGGCUAGCGUUAUCCGGAUUUACUGGGCGUAAAGGGUGCGUAGGCGGUCUUUCAAGUCAGGAGUGAAAGGCUACGGCUCAACCGUAGUAAGCUCUUGAAACUGGGAGACUUGAGUGCAGGAGAGGAGAGUGGAAUUCCUAGUGUAGCGGUGAAAUGCGUAGAUAUUAGGAGGAACACCAGUUGCGAAGGCGGCUCUCUGGACUGUAACUGACGCUGAGGCACGAAAGCGUGGGGAGCAAACAGGAUUAGAUACCCUGGUAGUCCACGCUGUAAACGAUGAGUACUAGGUGUCGGGGGUUACCCCCUUCGGUGCCGCAGCUAACGCAUUAAGUACUCCGCCUGGGAAGUACGCUCGCAAGAGUGAAACUCAAAGGAAUUGACGGGGACCCGCACAAGUAGCGGAGCAUGUGGUUUAAUUCGAAGCAACGCGAAGAACCUUACCUAAGCUUGACAUCNCGCACAUGGUUUGGGACCAUGGGGCCGGGGGUUCGAGUCCCUUCACCUCGACCAAUAUAAGGUGGGUAUAGCUCAGUUGGUUAGAGCGCCAGAUUGUGGCUCUGGAGGUCGUGAGUUCGACUCUCAUUAUCCACCCCAAAUUAUAUGGUCNGCUGACGCCUGCCCGGUGCUGGAAGGUUAAGGGGAUCUGUUAGAGCAAUCGAAGCAGUGAACUUAAGCCCCAGUAAACGGCGGCCGUAACUAUAACGGUCCUAAGGUAGCGAAAUUCCUUGUCGGGUAAGUUCCGACCCGCACGAAAGGCGUAACGAUUUGGGCACUGUCUCAACAACAGACUCGGUGAAAUUGUAAUUCCGGUGAAGAUGCCGGAUACCUGCGACAGGACGGAAAGACCCCAUGGAGCUUUACUGUAGCUUGACAUUGGGUCUUGGUACUACAUGUACAGGAUAGGUGGGAGGCUUUGAAACCAGGACGCCAGUUUUGGCGGAGCCAUCCUUGGGAUACCACCCUUGUAGUACUGGGACUCUAACCAUAGGCCAUGAAUCUGGUCUUGGGACACUGUCAGGUGGGCAGUUUGACUGGGGCGGUCGCCUCCCAAAAGGUAACGGAGGCGCUCAAAGGUUCUCUCAGUACGGUCGGAAAUCGUACGUAGAGUGUAAAGGCAAAAGAGAGCUUGAUUGCAAGACAUACAGGUCGAGCAAGGAUGAAAAUCGGACUUAGUGAUCCGGUGGUUCUGCGUGGAAGGGCCAUCGCUCAACGGAUAAAAGCUACCCUGGGGAUAACAGGCUUAUCUCCCCCAAGAGUCCACAUCGACGGGGAGGUUUGGCACCUCGAUGUCGGCUCAUCACAUCCUGGGGCUGUAGUAGGUCCCAAGGGUUGGGCUGUUCGCCCAUUAAAGUGGUACGCGAGCUGGGUUCAGAACGUCGUGAGACAGUUCGGUCCCUAUCCGUCGCAGGCGUAGGAAAUUUGAGAAGACCUGUCCUUAGUACGAGAGGACCGGGAUGGACGUACCUCUGGUGUACCAGUUGUUCUGCCAAGGGCAUGGCUGGGUAGCUAUGUACGGAAUGGAUAAGCGCUGAAAGCAUCUAAGCGCGAAGCCAACUUCAAGAUAAGAUUUCCCACCGCAAGGGUAAGACCCCAGAAAGACUAUCUGGUUGAUAGGUCGAAGGUGUAAGUGCAGCAAUGUAUUUAGCUUAUCGAUACUAAUAGGUCGAGGACUUGACCAA